AGCGGGGUGGGCUAGCCUGGUUUAUGCCGCAGGGCUCAUAUCUCAAAGAAGAGUGGAAGAACAUAAAAACCUGCUCCCAAGAAUGAGAAACCCUGAUAUCGUUCGUUCAAAUCGAACCCCCGCUACCA
rnacentral:tRNA from 1 species